GCGCAGCAGUCGCGAAACCUCCGCAAUGCGGGAAACCGCGACGGGGGACCCCGAGUGCCGUGGCAACGCCACGGCUUUUCCGGAGUGUAAAAAGCUCCGGGAAUAAGGGCUGGGCAAGGCCGGUGGCAGCCGCCGCGGUAAUACCGGCGGCCCGAGUGGUGGCCGCUAUUAUUGGGCCUAAAGCGUCCGUAGCCGGGCCCGUAAGUCCCUGGCGAAAUCCCACGGCUCAACCGUGGGGCUUGCUGGGGAUACUGCGGGUCUUGGGACCGGGAGAGGCGGGGGGUACCCCUGGGGGUAGGGGUGAAAGUCCUAUAAUCCCCAGGGGGACCGCCAGUGGCGAAGGCGCCCCGCUGGAACGGUCCGACGGUGAGGGACGAAGGCCA
rnacentral:rRNA from 1 species